CUACGGGUGGCUGCAGUGGGGAAUAUUGCACAAUGGAGGAAACUCUGAUGCAGCAACGCCGCGUGGAGGAUGACACUUUUCGGAGCGUAAACUCCUUUUAUAUAGGAAGAAGAUGACGGUACUAUAUGAAUAAGCGCCGGCUAACUCCGUGCCAGCAGCCGCGGUAAUACGGAGGGCGCAAGCGUUACUCGGAAUCACUGGGCGUAAAGAGCGUGUAGGCGGAUUAAAAAGUCAGAAGUGAAAUCCUAUAGCUUAACUAUAGAACUGCUUCUGAAACUCUUAAUCUAGAAUAUGGGAGAGGUAGAUGGAAUUUCUGGUGUAGGGGUAAAAUCCGUAGAGAUCAGAAGGAAUACCGAUUGCGAAGGCGAUCUACUAGAACAUUAUUGACGCUGAGGUGCGAAAGCGUGGGGAGCAAACAGGAUUAGAUACCCUCGUAGUC
rnacentral:rRNA from 1 species